rnacentral:lncRNA from 1 species
AGAACUAGAACCAGUUCAUAAUGAUUCUAAUAGGCUUUUAUUAUAACCGAGAAGAGCAUGUUCAAAUAAGCCUUAAUUUGCUUAUACUUAUCUUAAACUCACAGUAUAACCAACUGAUUAAGUAUAACCGGCCGGGUGAGAAACUUUUGGACAAGAAUGUUUUAGAGUUGCAACAAGUAAAUCUAUAUAUCUUGAUAAUAAUAAUAGAUUGCAUUGCAGCGCGCACUAAUUAAGAGCCAGCAUACGUACGAUCCAUUGCUCUAGACAACACGGCUCCAUUCUAUGAUUUCACCGUCAUCAUUGCCUUCCCGCGUUGCUGGUUUCAUCAUUUCAAUCUUAGUAGAAGGCCCUGCUGAAUCAUCAUUGCCUUCCCGCGUUGCUGGUUUCAUCAUUUCAAUCUUAGUAGAAGGCCCUGCUGAAUCAUCAUUGCCUUCCCGCGUUGCUGGUUUCAUCAUUUCAAUCUUAGUAGAAGGCCCUGCUGAAUCAACAGUGCUCGUUGAUUCUGCUGUGCCAUUGCUCUUCUCCAAUGCCUUCUUCAUCUUAGCCUUCUGAGCCCAAGACAGAACACCCUGCUGGACAUGCUUAUUAAAG